CCGCGUCGAUAGUCGGGCGAAAUGCCGCU
rnacentral:sRNA from 1 species